rfam:Hordeum vulgare subsp. vulgare, WGS project CAJW01000000 data, contig: morex_contig_1521459
CUGCCUGCUGAAUCCAUGAGCAGGCAAGAGACAACCUGGCGAACUGAAACAUCUUAGUAGCCAGAGGAAAAGAAAGCAAAAGCGAUUCCCGUAGUAGCGGCGAGCGAAAUGGGAGCAGCCUAAACCGUGAAAACGCGGUUGUGGGAGAGCAAUACAAGCGUUGUGCUGCUAGGCGAAGCGGUUGAGUGCCGCACCCUAGAUGGCUAAAGUCCAGUAGCCGAAAGCAUCACUAGCUUAUGCUCUGACCCGAGUAGCAUGGGGCACGUGGAAUCCCGUGUGAAUCAG